CUACGGGGCGCUGCAGGUGAGAAAACUUUGCAAUGUGCGAAAGCACGACAAGGUUAAUCCGAGUGGUUUGUGCUAAACGAACCUUUUGACAGUCCUAGAAACACUGUUGAAUAAGGGGUGGGCAAGUUCUGGUGUCAGCCGCCGCGGUAAAACCAGCACCUCAAGUGGUCAGGAUGAUUAUUGGGCCUAAAGCAUCCGUAGCCGGCUCUGUAAGUUUUCGGUUAAAUCUGUACGCUCAACGUACAGGCUGCCGGGAAUACUGCAGAGCUAGGGAGUGGGAGAGGUAGACGGUACUCGGUAGGAAGGGGUAAAAUCCUUUGAUCUAUUGAUGACCACCUGUGGCGAAGGCGGUCUACCAGAACACGUCCGACGGUGAGGGAUGAAAGCUGGGGGAGCAAACCGGAUUAGAUACCCCCGUAGUC
rnacentral:rRNA from 1 species